rnacentral:lncRNA from 1 species
UGAAAACCACGAGGGAGCUUACGGAUUCUGGCUCAGCAGGUGUUGAAUAGUAUAUAAUCAUCUACAUUUUGAACAUGGAUUGUAUGUGAUUCUGGCGGAGGCGAUCCAUCUAGACUGCACUUUAAGAAACAUUGGCUAGAUAGAGGGCUUCUCACCCCUGACUUUACAUCAGACUCACCCGAAUUGUUUUUAAAACCUGAUGAUGAUGCAUGGGCUUCACUUCAAACCAACUAAAGAAGACUCUGGCAUGGGGCAUUCAUUUAAGCAUUUUUAAAAACACCUGAUUUUAAUAUAUAGCAUUCAAGACCCCUGAGAGGAGGUACCAAAUUAAGCAUAAAAUAGCUUGAGGAUUAAUUACAGAAUACUACCGAAAGUACCUAUUUCUCAAGAAUCUAAGUUCAUACUAUUACUUGGCAUUCUCCACCAAAUAUGGAAGUCAAAAAUGUGUUCUCAAUUAGCUUAAUAGUGAAAAGCAAACAAGAAGUUUGGACAACUGACUUUAUUACCCUGACAUGUCACUGCCACAGUAUAAAUCUGAGUGGUCUGGUGCCAUCCCCGUGGUUGCCUGACCUUUCCUGGUUCUGACUGACUUUCUGCUGUCACCCGCUUUAUCUUAUUAUCCCCUUUCCCCUGUAGUCCUGU